AGUUGAGGCGGACGGGUGAGUAAUUGUCUAGGGAAACUGCCUGAUGGAGGGGGAUAACUACUGGAAACGGUAGCUAAUACCGCAUAACGUCGCAAGACCAAAGAGGGGGACCUUCGGGCCUCUUGCCAUCGGAUGUGCCCAGAUGGGAUUAGCUAGUAGGUGGGGUAACGGCUCACCUAGGCGACGAUCCCUAGCUGGUCUGAGAGGAUGACCAGCACACUGGAACUGAGACACGGUCCAGACUCCUACGGGAGGCAGCAGUGGGGAAUAUUGCACAAUGGGCGCAAGCCUGAUGCAGCCAUGCCGCGUGUAUGAAGAAGGCCUUCGGGUUGUAGAGUACUUUCAGCGGGGAGGAAGGGAGUAAAGUUAAUACCUUUGCUCAUUGGACGUACCCGAGAAGAAGCACCGGCUAACUCCGUAGCCAGCAGCACAGCGGAAAUACCGGAGGGGCAGCCAAAGCGUAGACUACGGAACUUAACUNGGGAGGCCGGUAAAAAAGGCCAGCAACCGACAAGGGACGAGGAGAAACGUCUAAAACAGUCCCACGANAAUCAGUUGCAAAAAUUCCCNCACCGGGGGUACCACAACCCCUGGGNGGGA
rnacentral:rRNA from 1 species